rnacentral:rRNA from 1 species
UACGAAGGGGGGCUAGCGUUGCUCGGAAUGACUGGGCGUAAAGGGCGCGUAGGCGGAUGGCACAGUCAGAUGUGAAAUUCCCGGGCUUAACCUGGGGGCUGCAUUUGAUACGUGUUGUCUUGAGUUCGGAAGAGGGUCGUGGAAUUCCCAGUGUAGAGGUGAAAUUCGUAGAUAUUGGGAAGAACACCGGUGGCGAAGGCGGCGACCUGGUCCUUGACUGACGCUGAGGCGCGAAAGCGUGGGGAGCAAACAGG